AAGUACAUAAUGCCUGAUGCUGGAGAUGCUCAAUCUCAAGGCAUUGGAGAAAGGGCGGGGAAAAAAUUGUCUGGCAUUGUUUGUGCCUCAAACCUUGAAGGAACCAGCAGUUAUGGCAGCCAUCUCAGAAUCUGGAGAGUGGGAGGUGUUUGGAACUUCUGCACUGGCUACAGAGGGGAUCUCACCCUGGCUUAUGUCCAAGACACACAUCCCCAUCCUCUGUGCAUUAAUAAACAUCUCAAAAGCCAAUACAUGGCCAAAGGUUGGAAGAUAGCUUCUGAACAGGAAACUUGCAAAAGCUCCACAGGAAGUAAGUUCGACAUUAUUUUGUGCUAUAUAUCCUGUCUGAGAAAUGAUAAAAGGGCCCUGACACGGCAGGGAAGAUUUACGUUAGCUCAAGAUUUUCUAACAAGCAUCAGAGAGCAGUUGAAAAACAAGGCCUACCCAUUGUUGGUGCACUACAGAGGAAAGUACUGGAGAGAUAAUUUAAGACAAAUAUAAUUUGAAUGUCUGAAUACAUGCAUGCAGAGGAAAGUGGCUUAUCCUUCUCUUCUCUUCUUCGGGGCACAUUUUGGAGAUUUUUCUGCAAGAUGGAAAGACACGAUGCUGAAGCUUAUCUGCAAGAUGAUUCACACAGAAAGACUACAACUGUUUUGACAACUGCUUCUGCUGCUGUGAGAUGCAGAUCCUCCCAUGUCUCAUUUAUGUUUGGAAGAUCAAGAUUCUGCAGACAUUUAGUCCUCACCUGAGAUCGAGAGAUAUUUUGUAUUGUGGAGCAUAACCUACAAGGAAAGAUUAGAGCUGCUAGGGAACAGUGCCCCAAAGUCCUAAACUUGAGAGCCUAGUCAGAAGUGUAGUGUAAUCAACAGUAUUGAAAGCUGUGGAAAGUUCCAACAGGGUUACACUCCCCUUGUCUGUUUCAUUGAGGAGACUGUCAGGCAGGCAAUCAAUGCAGCUUACAUUUCAUGGCACAGCCUAAACUCCAACUGAAACAGAUUAAGACCAACUGUGUGCUCCAGGAACAUCUUCAACUGGUCGGCCACCACCCUCUCAUUCAACUUGCCCAAGAAUGGUAUCCGCAAUUGGCCUGCAGUUAUUGAGUUUGUCCAGUGCUAAGUUUGGUUUCCUAGAAAUGGGCUUUAUAAUGGUCUCGUUUAAAAAGGGAGGCAAAUAUCCCUCCCAAAGAGAUGCAUUGAUGAUAUGCAUAGCCCAUUCCAUAGCUGUCUCUUUAGCUGUUUUUAGAAGCCAUGAAGGGCAGGAAUCUAGAGAGGAAGUGGUGGCUCUGCAGCUGAAAGUGCUUUGUCUGCAUCCUCAAGCUAUACUGAAACUGACACAGUAUAAUAUAAGAUGAAGACACUCCAAACCUGGACACAACUGGACAGAGAUCCUCUGAUUUUGAGUGAAUUUCUGUGGACAACACAGGAUUACCUCCAUUUCACUGGCUGACGAGACUGGGGCUUGAAGGAGGAGUCAUUAAGCAUCUGAGGUGCACCUUCUUGUAAUUUCCAGUCCUUCAACCAACAUCAAACUUACCAUACUAAUUUUAGUACCUUAUUGUACUAAAACUAUUCAGUACAACUGACACAUAAUGAAUGGUCUCAAGUCAUCCUGCAGUGAUCUUCAUAGCUAAAAGUCAAACUAGAUUUUGAGGGCAAUAUGUAUGUCCUCUAAUUAAUCCAUUUCCCUCCCACAACAGGAUUUCCUCAAAGAUAAAUGCCUCUGCUACCAAAGUUGCAAAUUCAGCUUGUAUGUAUGCUUCAGUGACUAAGCUCAAAACAAACCACACAAAAUAUGAGAUAUGAAUUAUGGAAAAUGUUGUGCCAUGAAAUGCCAACAAUCUUCCAGCAAUCCAAAUAAUACCUCUACAAAAACAAUGCUAAGUGUGUUGUCUAGUUUGCCCCUAAGACUGCAUUUUCAUGGCACAAUUUCAACAUUUUAUCUGAGGGUGUGAUCAAAUGGCACUUUAUCUCGUGUUUAGGACUGCAUUGGAAACAGGCUGGUUUGCUUAUCUUCUUGCAACCACAUGAUGUACAGGCAGUCACAAACCAGCCUGACUCUUAUCAAUACCUUCUUGCAUCUUUCUGAGUCCUUUGCAUGGGUAGAAGUGCUCCAAUUUCAUUCUGUUUCUGGUAUGUGUGAUCACUAUUACUGAACCAAAGUGGGACUGGUAGGUGUUUUCCCUCAACAAUUCACUGCUGUGUCUCUGGAACAGCAAGCCAGCCAAUACAGGGAUAUAUUACUUGCAGAGGAGAUGACAGGAAAGGAUCCAGUGAGUGACCUUUUUUGCUUGUUUAUUUUAACAAUACAAUGCUUUUCACUUUCAUGGCAAACCAAUGAAGCAAUGACAUACCAAUAAAUGAAUAACUAGGUGGGUUGGGU
rnacentral:lncRNA from 1 species